UCCACCAAGCCUUUUUUCAACUUUUGACCUCGGAUCAGGUAGGGAUACCC
rnacentral:rRNA from 2 species